GAUGAAGAACGUAGCGAAAUGCGAUACGUAAUGUGAAUUGCAGAAUUCAGUGAAUCAUCGAGUCUUUGAACGCACAUUGCGCCCCCUGGUAUUCCGGGGGGCAUGCCUGUCCGAGCGUCAUUGCUGCCCUCAAGCACGGCUUGUGUGUUGGGCCCCCGCCCCCCGGCUUCGGGGGGCGGGCCCGAAAGGCAGCGGCGGCACCGCGUCCGGUCCUCGAGCGUAUGGGGCUUCGUCACCCGCUCUGUAGGCCCGGCCGGCGCCCGCCGGCGACCCCAAUCAAUCUUUCCAGGUUGACCUCGGAUCAGGUAGGGAUACCCGCUGAACUUAAGCAUAUCAACAAGCGGAGGA
rnacentral:misc_RNA from 1 species